GGUGGAUGUGGAGGAGGCUCUGAGGAGGGCGCUGCAAGAAAGAGACGACGCCAUCAACAAGAGGAGUGCGGUCGAGAUGGAGUUGGCCGUCUGUAAGAUCGAUGUCAUGGCACUCAACUCUCAGCUGCUGGACGCCAUUCAGCAGAAGGUUGAUCUCAGUCAGGAGCUCGAAGCCUGGCAGUUCGCCUCUUCCAGUGUCAUGACCUUCGUCAUCCUCUGGCUACUGAUGUGACUCAACAUCAACAUCAACACCACCAACAUCAUUAACAUCAACAACAACAUCAUCAACAUCAUCAACAUCAUCAACAACAUCAACAUCACCAACAUCAACAUCACCACCAUCAUCAUCAUCAACAUCACCAACAUCAACAUCAUCACAUCACCACCACCAUCAACAUCAUCAACAUCACCACCAUCAACAUCAUCAACAUCAUCAACAACAACAUCAUCAACACCAUCAACAUCAACAUCACCAACAUCACCACCAUCAACAUCAUCAACAUCAUCAACAACAACAUCACCAUCAACAUCAUCAUCAACAUCAUCAACAUCACCACCAUCAACAUCACCAUCAACAUCACCACCAUCAACAUCAUCAACAUCAUCAUCAACAUCACCACCAUCAACAUCAUCAUCAACUCACCACCAUCAACAUCACCAUCAUCAACAUCAUCAACAUCAUCAACAUCAUCAACAUCAACAACAACAUCAUCAACAUCAUCAACAUCACCACCAUCAACAUCACCACCACCAUCAACAUCAUCAACAUCAUCAACAUCACCACCAUCAACAUCAUCAACAUCAACAACAACAUCAUCAACAUCAUCAACAUCACCACCAUCAACAUCACCACCACCAUCAACAUCAUCAACAUCAUCAACAUCACCACCAUCAACAUCAUCAACAUCAUCAACAACAACAUCAUCAACACCAUCAACAUCAACAUCACCAACAUCACCACCAUCAACAUCAUCACAUCAUCAACAACAACAUCACCAUCAACAUCAUCAACAUCAUCAUCAACAUCACCACCAUCAACAUCACCAUCAACAUCACCACCAUCAAC